CUCUGAAAGCUUCCUUGAGUUCUUCCUCAGAGUCAGUGUCCUUCAUUUUCCUAGCCAUUAGGUUCAAGAACUCCGGGAAAUCAAUGGUUCCGUUACCAUCCGCAUCAACUUCGUUGAUCAUGUCCUGAAGCUCAGCUUCGGUUGGGUUUUGACCGAGGGAACGCAUCACGGUACCAAGCUCCUUUGUGGUAAUGCAACCUACACAAAGUAAUCAAAGAUUGGUGUUACUACGAUGCAAAUCCAGAAUCAGAACAAAUCAAUAAAAACUGGUCAAAAUACGAAUUGAAAACAUGAAUCAUCACUAACACCACAGGGCUGAUUCACAAAUAUUUCAUCCGAACUACAUAGAUCUUUAAUUUGAACAAAGGCACAAACAAAUCCUUGAAUUCAAUAAUGAUUUGGAACAUCGAAAACGAAAAGAGUCAAUGCGAGGAUACGAACAAUGGAUCCGUCACCACGGUAAUCGAUACAUAUCAAAAGGGAACCAAAUCAAGCAGAAACUAAAUCAGAAUUAUACGGCCAAGACCUACGAUGAUAGAGGGAAAGGGAGGAUGAAGCAUACCAUCACCAUCCUUGUCGAAUAAGCUGAAGGCUUCCUUGAAUUCUGAG